rnacentral:lncRNA from 1 species
AAUUCGAGAUACUUUGAUUCUUGAUCCUCAGAUACUACCUCUUUACUCUUGUCAGAAUGCUCACCACUUAGACAUAAUGCACAAUAAGCAAUUUGCUACAUUUGUGCUAAACCGUUGUAAAACCAAUUCAGGCUUUAUACUAAUGCAUGAAAUGGGAUGUGAAAUACUCGGGUAACUAUCUAAAUACGGUGUUAAAUAUAAAUUCAAUUGUGUACCUAAAUACAAUGGUAUUGGCCUAAUUCGAUCUAUCACCCGAUUAAUUGGCCAAUACGUCUAAUUCAACUCUAAACAAUUCCAUUUCUCUCCCAACACUCCAAAUCAUUAAAUACAAUUUAAAUAACUUGAAAUGUGGCAAAAUCAUCCUCACAUUUUCUCUUGAAAAUUUCGGCCAUGGUGAGUGCACUAACAAUAUAAUUUUUCGUGCUUGAUUCUCACACCAUAAAUCAUUCAUUCCUAAUCAAAUCACUUGAAAUUAAAUCAAAUUCAUCAUUAAUAUUCCACAUGGAAUAUUCGGCCAAUGAAGGUGAUGUAAGAACAUGAAUUUUUCUUGCUUGCUUUUCAUACUACACAUCACCAAACAACUAAAAACACUAGAAUAACAUGUUUUCUAAAUAAAUUCAUCAUCAAAUUCUCUCUCCUAAGGUUUGAACAGCACACUAUCCUUCAUGAUAUCUUGUGAUUCAACCAUGGAAAAUGCAAAAUAAUGCAUAGGAAAGGUAGAUCACAAGCUAGAAUUAAGAAAUUUUACCUUUAAUGGCUUGAUUCCUUGAAAUUUGGUGAAUUUCUCUUGAAUUUCUUAGCUAGGGUUUUGUUCUUCUUCUUUUCUUCCCUUUUCUUCCUUUGGCCGACCAAGAGAAAUGAGU